GGGCUCUUUUUUACAUGUGCACAUGUAAGGACCUUGUUAUCUAUAAUCUAUAUAAUUUAUUAUCCAUUUAUAUUGUGAUGAUCUGAGUUUCCUACUCCUUUUCUUUUGAAUGGUGCCAUUGACAUUAGUUCCGAUGCCCGUUUGUGCAUUUCACUAUCAACUUCUUAAACAAAAACAAAUUUAAUCAUAGUAAUUUUGGCCUUUCAUGCAG
rnacentral:misc_RNA from 1 species